GAAAUUUAAUAUACAUUUAUUUAUCAGUUUCACAGCAGUUCAAAAAGUAACAUUUAAAAGUCUGGAGAUUCAGGACUGGAUCCCCAUUUCCCAUUUAAUAAAACCCUAAGACUAUGAGCUAUAAUGAUGUUCUUCCUUUAGACGUUGAAAGUGGCGACCAAAACCAUGGCUGUCCAACGCUGGGGAAUCCUCGACGCUGAGA
rnacentral:lncRNA from 1 species